GCUAUUUCAAACAGCAUCAGAGCUCUGGAUGAAAGAGCCAAUUUAAAGUUAGAAAUAUUUUCAUUAUCAACUUGUUUCUUACAUAAACAUAUCGAUUUGCUUCAGAAGACAUUCAUUGAUCGACUGGAGUCAAGUGGAUUACUUUUGUGCUGCCUAAAUGUGACUUUUCAACCGUCAAAGUGCUGGCACCCGUGAACUUCUAUUAUAAAGACCCAACAGAGCUCUAUCUUCUAAAAAUCUUCAUUAGUGUUCUGCUGAAGAAAGAGUCACACACAUCUGCGAUGGCAUCAGGUCAUGGAUGAAUCAGAGCGAAGCAAUGUAACCAGUGCAAUUUCUGAAUUCACUUGGAGUAACCUCACCUGAAGAUUUUCAAUAUGUUCAGGAACCAGACCUCCUGCCAGUAUUACGACCCAUUCAGGCCAGAAAACUUGUAUCUGCCUGGAGCCAGAUCAUUCUAGAGAGAGCAGCAGUGCUUCAUGUUCAUCAUCCUAUUCAUGUGGCAUGGCAUCCAGAGUGGUUUCGGACUGGGCCACCAGUUUUAAAAUUCCAUUGCAGAAGUUUCCAGAAGUAUUGAUUCAAUGGAAGGAAGAAAAGACCUGUUGUGUCUGAAAUGAUGAAGGUAUGUGACUGUCCCAGUAAACAAAGCUCUACAGCCAUUGCCAAAAAGAUGGUGGCCAAAUACCCUGCAUCAUUGCAGGAUGUUAUCAAAAGUGAUAUAAUUGGUUCGGGGUAUAACUCGCUGGUCAAGCAGAUUCAGAAUCGCCUAGAAAAUGUGAAGAGACCCAAAAUGCCAAAAAUCAGAAAACGCAACAGAACAGAAAACUGUAACACAGAGAAGAUUCCUGCUGAAGAAAGGGCAGCGGUUCAAGACACUUAUGGCUGUGUGAAUUGGGAUUUCAAAUGUAUGCCACUCAAUGAGACUAAAGACAGCCAGUUGGAUAAACAAGAACGGAUGAAGAUCAUGUAUAAAACAACCAAUGUUGACCCAGGAGGAGUUAGCAACCUUUUGAAAGCAACAUACUACUCUCAACGCUAAGAUAUAAACAACGGAGCAAGCAUACAACAGCUUGGUGAGAACUGGCCUUUUCUAUUUCAACAGGUAGGUGUACACUUCAAGCAGCUAACCGGAAUUGAUCUGAAGGAGAUGUUCCUUAAAAGGUUGGAUACAAAAGGACAGCGCCUCCUGAACUUUCUUAAAACAGUUGGUGCAGAAAAGACGACAAAACUAGAAGUUACGAGGUGUCAAACUGAGGGUUGCAGUGAAGAUUUGAUAGAUGUGGUGCUUCUUCUGUUUGCCUAAUUUAAUGAAAAGGAAGAGGCGAGUCUUGCCUUGUUGAAGAUGUGGAGGUAGACAAGUUACUAGCAACACCCUGCAUCAUUGUCUGUGCUAAGUUUGAAUGAAUACAAUUUAGUGUCAUAUUAAAACAUUUUAUGGGAUAUUUCACCCAACUGUCAUAAUUUAUGCACCCUCAUGUUGUUCCAAACCUGUAUAAAUGUCUUUAUACUGCUGAACACAAAGGAAGAUAUUUUGAAGAAUGUUUGGAACCAAACAGUUGUGGGGCACCAUUGACAUCCACAACUGUUUGGUUACAAACAUUCUUCAAAAUAUCUUCCUUUAUUAAUUCACAGUUACAUUGUCCGAAUGGCUGGUUGUGAAUGUCAGCACAAUGAGAUUAAAGAUAAAGCAAAAUAUAUUAAAACAAAAAGGCAUUUUAUUGUUUGUUUUUGUCUACUUGUUCUUCCUGCUAUACAUCAAAACUAUUCAUGCUGAGCAUCGACCGAAAGAUUACAACUCUGCACAUUUCUACAUUCGUCUCGGUGCAUGAUGUUUGGCAGUUACUACCGUUUUUACAUUCAUUACCCUUUGGAACUGGGUUCUACUCUGGAGAUCAUGCAAAGGUAGGCAUUAAACAAUUUUUUACACAACUUUACAGUAAGGUCUCAUUUGUUAACAUUAGGUAAUGUACUAACAAACAUGAACUAACAAUGGGGAUUACAUUUGUAACCGUAUUUAAUCUUUGUUUUUUUAAGAAAAAUACAGAAGUCGUUCAUUGUUUGUUCGUGUUAGUUCACAGUGCAUUAACUAAUGUUGAAAGUAAUGUUAAUUCUGUAAAUUGUCAUUAAUUUUUCUCCCUCAUGUCCUUCCAAACCCGUAAGACUUUCGUUCAAGUUUGGAACACAAAUGGAAAUAUUUUUAAUGUAACCUGCGACUAUCUGUCCCUCCAUUGACAGCUACACAACUACCACUUUCAAGGUCAAGAAAGGUAGCAAAAACAUAAAUAAAGUAAAUUAAGUUAUCCAUGUGACUCCAGUGGAUUAACCUCAAUUUACUACUUUAUUUAAAAAAUAUCAUUAUCAAAAGCGUUCACACAAUGAAUGCUCUUGCAUCCAUACAACACACGUGUCAUGAUGCUCUCAUGAACAAGUGUUACAGAUCAAUAUUUUUGUAAAUAAAGUGGUAAAAAAAAUGUUUUGUGCAAACAAAGCACUCCUGUUGCUUCAUAAAAUUGAAGUUAAACCACUGGAGUCACAUGAUUGCUUUAUGUCUUUACUACCUUUCUGGGGCUUGAAAGUGGUCAUUGUGUAGCUGUUAAUGGAGGGAGAGAAAGCUCUCAGAUUUCAUUAAAUUCUUCAUUUGUGUCCCGAAGAUGAACAAAAAAUAGCUCCCAGUGAACCCUCGAGUCCUUACACUCAUAGCAGACCUUGCUGAUCAUGAAUGGAGAGCAGAUUAAGGCUGGACAAAAACUUUUGACAGAUGUCUGAAGAUUACGUUUGCACUGAGAAUGUUUUACAACUUUGUUAUCUGGAUUUACACUGAAAGAUGCUUGAACUUUGAAUGUCGAAAACUACUUAUAUGUGAGACCUGUCCUCUUAGAAAGCAAUUUUUGGCUUAUAUACGGUUUUGUACUUAUGGUACAUAUGGUUCUAUACCAGUAAUGAUUUGAGAAGCCAACAAAACAUUGUGUGUGUACCUAAAAUAAAAUGUCACUUUUUGUUCUUGUAUGGUUAUGCUUUUCAUGUCCUUUCAAUUUACACAUUUAUGUUUUCCUACGAGGUUUUGUUUUGUGCAUCUGAGAUUGUAAAAAGCUGUAUGUUAAUGAUUAAUAGAAUAGUGUGCUGUCUUGUUCAGGUUAUUUAAUGUGUGGCUUUCUGCUAAAGAUUGCAAUUAUUCAAAAUGUUUGUUCUGCAAGUUGAAGCAAACAGGGAGAACAUUAUUUUACUACUGUUUUAAGAAGA